rnacentral:rRNA from 1 species
UUUUUUAGAGAGUUUGAUCCUGGCUCAGGAUAAACGCUGGCGGCGUGCCUAACACAUGCAAGU